CCCCUCUCAGAAUCGCACCUGAAGAGUUUUCAGUCCUCUAUCAGUCUCAGAACCGGGAGGGAGAGUCAAGGAGAGGCAUACCCAUUCCAUUCCUAGCUUGGGCAGUGGCUAGUGAGUGGAAGGCAACCUGCUAUAAGU